rnacentral:rRNA from 1 species
GAUGAACGCUGGCGGCGUGCCUAAUACAUGCAAGUCGAGCGAACAGACGAGGAGCUUGCUCCUCUGACGUUAGCGGCGGACGGGUGAGUAACACGUGGAUAACCUACCUAUAAGACUGGGAUAACUUCGGGAAACCGGAGCUAAUACCAGAUAACAUGUUGAACCGCAUGGUUCAACAGUGAAAGACGGUCUUGCUGUCACUUAUAGAUGGAUCCGCGCCGCAUUAGCUAGUUGGUAAGGUAACGGCUUACCAAGGCAACGAUGCGUAGCCGACCUGAGAGGGUGAUCGGCCACACUGGAACUGAGACACGGUCCAGACUCCUACGGGAGGCAGCAGUAGGGAAUCUUCCGCAAUGGGCGAAAGCCUGACGGAGCAACGCCGCGUGAGUGAUGAAGGUCUUCGGAUCGUAAAACUCUGUUAUUAGGGAAGAACAAAUGUGUAAGUAACUAUGCACGUCUUGACGGCACCUAAUCAGAAAGCCACGGCUAACUACGU